rnacentral:pre_miRNA from 1 species
GUUUGAAGCUGCUACGGGGUCGUUUUGCUCGUAAGGGCGUGAGUGGGAAUUGGUGACCUCCAGUUAGGGCAAGAUAAGGGUUUCCAGCAGAUCGACCUCGUAGCAGCUGUAAAC